rnacentral:rRNA from 1 species
UACGGGGGGAGCAAGCGUUGUUCGGAUUUACUGGGCGUAAAGGGCGCGUAGGCGGUCAGCACAAGUCAGUUGUGAAAUCUCCGAGCUUAACUCGGAAAGGUCAACUGAUACUGUGCGACUAGGGUGCAGAAGGGGCAACUGGAAUUCUUGGUGUAGCGGUGAAAUGCGUAGAUAUCAAGAGGAACACCUGCGGCGAAGGCGGGUUGCUGGGCUGACACUGACGCUGAAGCGCGAAAGCCAGGGGAGCGAACGGG